rnacentral:misc_RNA from 1 species
UGAGAAAAACACCAGAAUGAAUGAGUCUUUAUCGGCUGUUACAUUGAACAGGGCAUGUAAUGUUAAAUGACAAUUCCCUGUAAUGCAGUUUUUAAGCACUUCAUAUCUAAACCCAUCAAUAUUUUCAGAAAUUUUACCAGGUUUUGCUGUGUUCAUAGUUUGAUUCCUUGCCUUUGACCCUCUUUUGUAUGAACUAUCAAGAGGAUACUUUAAAAAUGAUUUCAUGUACGUGUUGCUUGUACGAGCACUUUCAAAUCAAGAGAGAUAACUCCUAAUUUGCUAUGUAUUUUGUAAACGUGGUUUCUGUCUUUCAGGUGUGUUAUCUGUAUCUUUCAAUUUGGUUUGCUUUUUUUGACACAAUACAUUUGAAUUAGUGAUUAGAAUAUGGAGGUUGAGUCAUUUUGUUGUUACAUUUCUUUGCUAACAUAUUUUGAUAGAUUUGUAGAAUACCUGGGUGUCAGUACCUGUUGUAAAUACAUGUGUGUAUGUAUGUAUGUGUGGAACACUUGUCAAUGCACUUACCUUUAUCAAUUCAUCUCAUAACAUGUGUAAAUUGUAGGGGAUAUUUCAUAUAAAACUUAUCCAAUGUCUUUCAAAUUGUUAAAAAUCAUUUUUAACACAUAUUUUUUUCACCCCCAUGAAAUUGCCAUUGUAUUGAAAUAGUUUUUUUCAAAUAUUUAUUUUGUUGGAAUUGGAUUAAUUAAUCCACAAAGUACCAUUAUAUGAUAAAUAUAACACAGUGUUGUUUGAUUUCCUCUGACACUGUUAAGCAGUCAAAAAAACAACUGACCAUUUGAAUCUGUAACCCGGAAGUGAAACAUUUUCAUCACACAAUGAAUUCACCACUUAUGGAUUGAAUGGGAGCCCUGUAUUUCUGACUGGUCGUGUAUCACCUAUGUACAUGUAUAAGUGUAUGCUUGACCAUCCAAAUCCUGUAAUCGACUGUGUUUGGAGAUUUUCAUAUAGUGCUAUGUUUGUUACUUGCUUUCUUUUUGUUGUCAAUAUUAUUUAUAUAUUGUCACGCCUUAUGGUUGAGAGGCUUCAAUAAAUACUAAAUAAUU